rnacentral:rRNA from 1 species
UACGUAGGGCGCAAGCGUUGUCCGGAAUUAUUGGGCGUAAAGAGCUCGUAGGCGGCUUGUCACGUCGGGUGUGAAAGCCCGGGGCUUAACCCCGGGACUGCCUUUGAUACUGGGUAUCUCGAGUCCGAGAGAGGUGAGUGGAAUUCCGAGUGUAGAGGUGAAAUUCGCAGAUAUCAGGAGGAACACCGGUGGCGAAGGCGGCUUGCUGGGCCUUACCUGACGCUGAGGAGCGAAAGCGUGGGGAGCGAA